rnacentral:misc_RNA from 1 species
GAUGAAGAACGUAGCAAAAUGCGAUAAGUAAUGUGAAUUGCAGAAUUCAGUGAAUCAUCGAAUCUUUGAACGCACAUUGCGCCCGCUGGUAUUCCGGCGGGCAUGCCUGUUCGAGCGUCAUUUCAACCCUCAAGCCCCCGGGUUUGGUGUUGGGGAUCGGCGAGCCUUUCUGGCAAGCCGGCCCCGAAAUCUAGUGGCGGUCUCGCUGCAGCCUCCAUUGCGUAGUAGUAAAACCCUCGCAACUGGAACGCGGCGCGGCCAAGCCGUUAAACCCCCAACUUCUGAAUGUUGACCUCGGAUCAGGUAGGAAUACCCGCUGAACUUAAGCAUAUCAAUAAGCGGAGGA